GAUGAACGCUGGCGGCGUGCCUAAUACAUGCAAGUCGAGCGAACGGACGAGAAGCUUGCUUCUCUGAUGUUAGCGGCGGACGGGUGAGUAACACGUGGAUAACCUACCUAUAAGACUGGGAUAACUUCGGGAAACCGGAGCUAAUACCGGAUAAUAUUUUGAACCGCAUGGUUCAAAGGUAAAAGACGGUCUUGCUGUCACUUAUAGAUGGAUCCGCGCUGCAUUAGCUAGUUGGUAAGGUAACGGCUUACCAAGGCAACGAUGCAUAGCCGACCUGAGAGGGUGAUCGGCCACACUGGAACUGAGACACGGUCCAGACUCCUACGGGAGGCAGCAGUAGGGAAUCUUACGCAAUGGGCGAAAGCCUGACGGAGCAACGCCGCGUGAGUGAUGAAGGUCUUCGGAUCGUAAAACUCUGUUAUUAGGGAAGAACAUAUGUGUAAGUAACUGUGCACAUCUUGACGGUACCUAAUCAGAAAGCCACGGCUAACUACGUG
rnacentral:rRNA from 1 species